UACGUAGGGGGCAAGCGUUGUCCGGAUUCAUUGGGCGUAAAGAGCGUGUAGGCGGCCAGGUAGGUCGGUUGUGAAAACUGGAGGCUCAACCUUCAGACGUCGACCGAAACCAUCUGGCUAGAGUCCGGGAGAGGAGAGUGGAAUUCCUGGUGUAGCGGUGAAAUGACGCAGAUAUCAGGAAGAACACCCGUGGCGAAAGCGGCUCUCUGGAACGGUACUGACGCUGAGACGCGAAAGCGUGGGGAGCGAACAGG
rnacentral:rRNA from 1 species